GACGAACGCUGGCGGCGUGCUUAACACAUGCAAGUCGAGCGGUAAGGCCCUUUCGGGGGUACACGAGCGGCGAACGGGUGAGUAACACGUGGGUGACCUGCCCUUAGCUCUGGGAUAAGCCUGGGAAACUGGGUCUAAUACCGGAUAUGACUCCAUGACGCAUGUUGUGGGGUGGAAAGCCUUGUGCGGCUAGGGAUGGGCCCGCGGCCUAUCAGCUUGUUGGUGGGGUGAUGGCCUACCAAGGCGACGACGGGUAGCCGGCCUGAGAGGGCGACCGGCCACACUGGGACGUGAGACACGGCCCAGACUCCUACGGGAGGCAGCAGUGGGAAUCUCGCGCAAUGGGCGAAAGCCUGACGCAGCGACGCCGCGUGAGGGAUGACGGCCUCGGC
rnacentral:rRNA from 1 species